UACAGAGGGUGCGAACGUUGCUCGGAAUCACUGGGCGUAAAGCGCGUGUAGGCGGAUCAGAAAGUCAGGUGUGAAAUCCCUGGGCUCAACCUAGGAACUGCAUCUGAAACUUCUGGUCUGGAGUGUCGGAGAGGGAAGCGGAAUUCCGGGUGUAGAGGUGAAAUUCGUAGAUAUCCGGAGGAACACCGGUGGCGAAGGCGGCUUCCUGGACGACUACUGACGCUGAGACGCGAAAGCGUGGGGAGCAAACAGG
rnacentral:rRNA from 1 species